GAACGCACAUUGCGCCCAUUAGUAUUCUAGUGGGCAUGCCUGUUCGAGCGUCAUUAAGUCCACUUAAGCCCUGCUUAGUGUUGGGAACCUACCGAAGAAGCUACCCUGUAGCUACCCUGUAGUUCCUUAAAGACAGCGGCGGAGUUGUGGUAUUCUCUGAGCUUAGUAAUUUUUUUCUAGCUUUCGAGUUGCCACUGCUUCUGCCGUUAAACACCCUUCUUCUGAAUGGUUGACCUCGGAUCAGGUAGGAAUACCCGCUGAACUUA
rnacentral:misc_RNA from 1 species